rnacentral:misc_RNA from 1 species
UCCCGUUUGACACGGGCAGUCCCUCUAGAGUGCCCAACUAAAUGAUGGCAACUAGAGGCAAGGGUUGCGCUCGUUGCGGGACUUAACCCAACACCUCACGGCACGAGCUGACGACAGCCAUGCAGCACCUAGUUUCGUGUCCCGAAGGACGUACCCAUCUCUGGAUACUUCACUAACUUUCAAGCCCGGGUAAGGUUCCUCGCGUAUCAUCGAAUUAAACCACAUGCUCCUCCGCUUGUGCGGGCCCCCGUCAAUUCCUUUGAGUUUCAUCCUUGCGGACGUACUCCCCAGGUGGAAUACUUAAUGCUUUCGCGUGGACGCUGACAGUGUAUCGCCAACAUCGAGUAUUCAUCGUUUAGGGCGUGGACUAC